GACGAACGCUGGCGGCGUGCUUAACACAUGCAAGUCGAACGGAAAGGCCCUGCUUUUGUGGGGUGCUCGAGUGGCGAACGGGUGAGUAACACGUGAGUAACCUGCCCUUGACUUUGGGAUAACUUCAGGAAACUGGGGCUAAUACCGGAUAGGAGCUCCUGCUGCAUGGUGGGGGUUGGAAAGUUUCGGCGGUUGGGGAUGGACUCGCGGCUUAUCAGCUUGUUGGGGGGGUAGUGGCUUACCAAGGCUUUGGCGGGUAGGCGGCCUGAGAGGGUGACCGGCCACAUUGGGACUGAGAUACGGCCCAGACUCCUCCGGGAGGCAGCAGUGGGGAAUAUUGCACAAUGGGCGGAAGCCUGAUGCAGCAACGCCGCGUGCGGGAUGACGGCCUUCGGGUUGUAAACCGCUUUCGCCUGUGACGAAGCGUGAGUGACGGUAAUGGGUAGAGAAGCACCGGCUAACUACGUG
rnacentral:rRNA from 1 species